UUAGCUGCAGUAAGAGAGGUGGGGCCCACCCUACACCCUACAAAAAGUACACGCAUGUUUGCUUUUUUUUAUUUUUUUUUCCCAAACUCCACAGACUGGCAUAUACUGGAAGAAAUCCGUCGCUAGCAUACCAUACGUGCUGGUAGUGUUAUUGUUGCCUGGAAUAUUUCCCCCAUUCUUUCUUAUGCCCUGUUGUGUUUGGGUACAUCACUCCUGCUGGUUGUAGAGGGGAAACUAGAAUACUGAGCUUUGGGGCAUCGCCGCUUUAAAUCCAGCCCCUGAGGUCAUUUGCACAGUUCAGUUAGGGAAGAAGCAUUCUUCAGAUGGGAAAGAGGCACAAGUGAAUGGAUAUCCAGAAUAAUGAAGAAAAAUGGGGGCUGCAUUCUUCUUAAGAGGAAGACAAGAGGAGAGACAAGGAGAGAAUUACACGGCGGAACCUGCAAUUUCCAGACUGGCCCUAUAGCCCCUGGCUACCAAGAGCUGCUUCCUGCAGAUGGGGAGACAGGUGUACAAUGCUGAAUGACUUCUAUUAGCCCGUCUCGGGCCACUGCCUUCAGAUAACUCGUUCACUAGAUGUUCAGAUGCACCAAAGAACCAAACAAAGAAGAGACGAGAAGGGAUUAAAGAAAAAAUAUAUCAUGCAAGAUUUGUAAGUAUAUUUCCAGGGUCUAUUUAAGGGGCCUGUUCACUAAAUAGUGAGUCGUGGUGAGUUAAGAAGACUUGUAAAGUGUAGAUCCAAAUAGUUGAUUAAAAAAACUUUUUUUGACUCAGCUCCAUUGAAGUUUCUUCCGAGUUUGGUUAAUUUAGCCUACAGUUUAAAAGUUGGAUAUAAAAUCACCACUGCUUAUGUGAUAACUGAUGUACACUACAUCUUACAACUAACCAGUUUGCAUUUCCUUUUAGGCCUUACUCCUUUCCUGGCUUUUCCAGCAGUUAUUAAGGGACACUAUAGUCACCAAAACAACUUAAAGGGACACUAUAUUCACCAGAACAACUACAGCUUAUUGAAUUUGUUCUGAUUCCAAGGGGUCUAUGGAGAUCUUCUACAGUACUGGAAUAGUGGCUUGCAUUUUUGGAUGCCACAUGAUUAAUAGAGUGUCUUGAAAACCACUCGACAGUUAUUAAAUGGUUACUGUGCACACCUUGCCAACACAAGUGAUUUGAAGUGGUCAUGGUGCCUGGAGUCUCUAUGUUCAGCAUUUCACUCCACCUCUGGCUGCAUCAUUGGAGGGUCUUUAGCCAACCUGGAGAUUUGGCUGGAUAAUGCUAAUUCUGUGCAUAUUCCUAAGCACGGGAGUACAUUCAUUGUCUGAGAGUGGUUACUUACACUUUCAACCAAUCAUUGCCCGGUUGGACAGACAUCUAGUUUCUGCAGCUUUGCAGAAUACGGUUUUCGUCACUAGCUACUGUAGGACAGUCAGCGCUCGGUGGUGAUCCAAGUAAGAGGGUUGUACUCAUCUAAACAUAGAGUUAUAGUACUAUACAAUAUAUAGUAUGCUAUUGAUUCCACGGCUGACAUAAUUGCUGAAUUUAACUU